UACGUAGGGGGCAAGCGUUGUCCGGAAUCAUUGGGCGUAAAGCGCGUGUAGGCGGCUGGGCAAGUCCGCUCUGAAAGCCCCGAGGCUCAACCUCGGGGAGGCGAGUGGAUACUGCUCAGCUCGAGUCCGGAAGAGGAGUGUGGAAUUCCUGGUGUAGCGGUGAAAUGCGCAGAUAUCAGGAGGAACACCAAUUGCGAAGGCAGCACUCUGGGACGUGACUGACGGCUGAGACGCGAAAGCGUGGGGAGCAA
rnacentral:rRNA from 1 species